rnacentral:rRNA from 1 species
UACAGAGGGGGCAAGCGUUGUUCGGAAUUACUGGGCGUAAAGGGCGCGUAGGCGGCCUGUUAAGUCGAACGUGAAAUCCCCGGGCUCAACCCGGGAACUGCGUCCGAUACUGGCAGGCUUGAAUUCGGGAGAGGGAUGCGGAAUUCCAGGUGUAGCGGUGAAAUGCGUAGAUAUCUGGAAGAACACCCGUGGCGAAGGCGGCUUCCUGGAACGACACUGACGCUGAGACGCGAAAGCGUGGGGAGCAAACAGG